rnacentral:snRNA from 1 species
AUCCCUUCGCAGUGGCGAUAUCAUAGCCUAUGAGUCUAGCGCGGCGUGAUUAUUGCUGGUUGAAAACUUAACCCAAUACCCCGCGGGACGACUUGCAAUACAGUCGGCCCUGGCAAUUUUGAUAGUCUCGCAGAGA